rfam:Kocuria kristinae strain RTTW2-3 contig00007, whole genome shotgun sequence.
GGUGAGGUGGUCGAGUGGUUAGGCAGCGGCCUGCAAAGCCGUGUACGCGGGUUCGAAUCCCGUCCUCACCU